CCAAUAGCGUAUAUUAAAGUUGUUGCAGUUAAAAAGCUCGUAGUUGAAUUUCGGGAUCAAGGAAUCGGUCAUGCCUUGGUAUGUACUGGUUUUAUUGGUUCUCACCUUCUAAAGAACCAUAAUGUCAUUCAUUUGAUGUUAUGGGGAAUUAGGACUGUUACCUUGAAAAAAUUAGAGUGUUUAAAGCAGGCUCACGCUUGAAUACAUUAGCAUGGAAUAAUGAAAUAGGACGUUUGAUUCUAUUUUGUUGGUUUCUAGGAUCGACGUAAUGAUUAAUAGGGAUAGUUGGGGGCAUUAGUAUUCAAUUGUCAGAGGUGAAAUUCUUGGAUUUAUUGAAGACUAACUACUGCGAAAGCAUUUGCCAAGGAUGUUUUCAUUAAUCAAGAACGAAAGUUAGGGGAUCGAAGACGAUCAGAUACCGUCGUAGUCUUAACCAUAAACUAUGCCGACUAGGGAUCGGAUGAUGUUAAUUUUUUAAUGACUCAUUCGGCGCCUUACG
rnacentral:rRNA from 1 species